AGUAACGCGUGAGGAACCUGCCUCAAAGAGGGGGACAACAGCUGGAAACGACUGCUAAUACCGCAUAAGCCCACGGCUCGGCAUCGAGCAGAGGGAAAAGGAGUGAUCCGCUUUGAGAUGGCCUCGCGUCCGAUUAGCUAGUUGGUGAGGUAACGGCCCACCAAGGCAACGAUCGGUAGCCGGACUGAGAGGUUGAACGGCCACAUUGGGACUGAGACACGGCCCAG
rnacentral:rRNA from 1 species